UACGUAGGGUCCGAGCGUUGUCCGGAAUUACUGGGCGUAAAGAGCUCGUAGGUGGUUUGUCGCGUUGUUCGUGAAAACUCACAGCUCAACUGUGGGCGUGCGGGCGAUACGGGCAGACUUGAGUACUGCAGGGGAGACUGGAAUUCCUGGUGUAGCGGUGGAAUGCGCAGAUAUCAGGAGGAACACCGGUGGCGAAGGCGGGUCUCUGGGCAGUAACUGACGCUGAGGAGCGAAAGCGUGGGGAGCAAGCGGG
rnacentral:rRNA from 1 species